rnacentral:rRNA from 1 species
UACAGAGGUCCCAAGCGUUGUUCGGAUUCAUUGGGCGUAAAGGGUGCGUAGGUGGCGCCGUAAGUGGGGUGUGAAAUUUCGGAGCUUAACUCCGAAACUGCAUUCCAUACUGCGGUGCUUGAGGACUGGAGAGGAGACUGGAAUUUACGGUGUAGCAGUGGAAUGCGUAGAGAUCGUAAGGAAGACCAGUGGCGAAGGCGGGUCUCUGGACAGUUCCUGACACUGAGGCACGAAGGCCAGGGGAGCAAACGGG